rnacentral:rRNA from 1 species
UACAGAGGGUGCGAGCGUUGUCCGGAAUCACUGGGCGUAAAGGGCGCGUAGGUGGCGGCCCAAGUCCAUGGUGAAAGCUCGAUGCUCAACAUCGAGUCGGCCACGGAUACUGGGUUGCUCGAGCACUGUAGGGGCAGAUGGAAUUCCGGGUGUAGCGGUGAAAUGCGUAGAUAUCAGGAGGAACACCGGUGGUGUAGACGGCUCACUGGACCAUAACUGACGCUGAAACACGAAAGCGUGGGUAGCAAACAGG